rnacentral:rRNA from 1 species
AUGACGGCGCCGGCGGACAAGGGGAAGAAGGCCAAGACCGACACCGACGUCGGCGAGGAGAACGAGCAGAUCGACGGUGCCCUCGUCCUCUCCAUCGAGAGGCUCCAGGAGAUCCAGGACGAGCUCGAGAAGGUUAAUGAAGAAGCAAGUGAUAAGGUUUUGGAGGUUGAGCAGAAGUACAGUGAGAUUCGCAGACCUGUCUAUCUUCGGAGGUGUGACAUCAUCAAAACAAUUCCAGACUUUUGGCUGACAGCGUUUCUAAGUCAUCCUCUUCUCAGUGAGCUUUUGACUGAAGAGGAUCAAAAGAUGUUCAAGUACUUGGAAUCUGUUGAUGUUGAUGAUUCUAAAGAUGUCAAGUCAGGCUACUCCAUCACUCUUAACUUCUCUGAGAAUCCGUACUUUGAAGACAGAAAGCUUACCAAGUCAUAUGCCUUUGCUGAUGAUGGAACAACCACAAUAAAUGCCACUUCCAUUAAGUGGAAGGAGGGAAUGGAAAUUAAUGGGAAUGCCAUUAAGAAGAAAGGAAGCAAGCGCCCAUUGGUUGAAGAAAGUUUCUUCACCUGGUUCACUGAUACAGAGCACAAGAGCCUUGCUGAUGGGGUGCAAGAUGAGGUGGCAGAGAUCAUCAAAGAAGAUUUGUGGCCGAACCCAUUGAAAUAUUUCAACAAUGAGGUUGAAGAGUUUGAAGGAGAUGACGAGGAUGAAGAGGGAUCUGAUGGGGAGGAUGCUGAGGAGGACGACGACGAGGAGAACUGA